ensembl:lncRNA
GUGAGCAGUGUUGGUGGUCUCUUCCGCUCUGCAGCCUCAGGAGUGCCCACCUGACCUGGCUGUUGGGUCUCUCUCUCACGGGGUCUGGGAGCAGAGAGCUGCUGCGGGCCGGGAUCCGCGGGUGUGGGACUUCCGGUGGAGUCUAGAGACUAACGUAGGAAGAUCAUCUGGCUUGCAGAAGAAAAGAACUUAUGACAGAAGUAUAUUAUGAUUGUACCCUACGAGGACCAACAUCGGCUGACUGAGACAAAAGCAGACUCUUAACAAAGAAUCAUUGAACAAAAGUCACAGACCCCUGUGGUUGAAUUAGGGAAAGGUGGGAAGAAGCUAAGGAGGAGAGUGACCCUACAGAAAGAGCAGCAGUCUCAACAAACCCAGACCCCUGAGAUCUCUCAGACACUGAACCACCAAUCAGACAACAUAAAGGAGCUGGUCCGAGGUUCCAGACACAUGUACAAACAGAAGACUGCCUGGUCUGGCCACAGUGGGAGAAGAAGAGCCUAAACCUCUAGAGACUUGAGGCCCGGGUGACUAGAGGAAUGGUGGAAUGGUAGACCAGGAGGGGAGCAACUACUAGACUGUAAAACAAUAAAGACAAUCCCUAAAGGCGUUUUGGCUGUUAUGGAUUAAAAACAAUUUCCACCAUUUUCAUAGGGAAGCAGCACUUUCGACAAAUCAGCAAGUUGGGCAUGAGCCUUUACAUCAAGUUUGUGACCAUGUAAAGUGAAGCCAUGGUUAAAUAAUUCUACAGUGAACUCGAGGGAAUUUUAAGCCAGUGUGGACCUGAUAUUAAUUGCAAUCCCUUCCUGCUUAAUAUCUGGACAAACCCUCCAAUUGAUGUUGCCAUUUUGCAGAAGGCUAUG